CUUUCAACAACGGAUCUCUUGGUUCUGGCAUCGAUGAAGAACGCAGCGAAAUGCGAUAAGUAAUGUGAAUUGCAGAAUUCAGUGAAUCAUCGAAUCUUUGAACGCACAUUGCGCCCCUCGGUAUUCCGGGGGGCAUGCCUGUCCGAGCGUCA
rnacentral:rRNA from 1 species